CCACAGGGUCACUGGUCUUUCUUCCCUUUGUAUUUUGGAAUGAACUUACUUUUAAGAAAGAAAACAAACAAGUGAACAUGAUAGUUUAUCAGGGGAGCCACGAUCAGGCCCGCGGCAAUCAAGCGGAACAUCACUGAACCUGUGUAGGGCACCCAGAAGCACUGCCUUUUCUUCUUCGACUGCAGUUGGAGGUGUUGAUGUUUUGCUGUGGAACAAACCAUCCCAAAAUAUAAGGACUUCAUGGACCAGAAUGACGGCAUGCUUCACCUGAGGUCUCACUUGGGUCUGAUUGCUUCCAUGCUCCACUGCU
rnacentral:lncRNA from 1 species